rfam:Columba livia unplaced genomic scaffold scaffold31, whole genome shotgun sequence.
UAAAUGGAUCUUCUAAGAUCCAUUAAAUAUUAAUUUUCAUGAGCUU